CUAACACAUGCAAGUCGAACGAGAAAGGGUAGCAAUACCUGAGUAAAGUGGCGCACGGGUGAGUAACACGUGACUAACCUACCCUGGAGUGGGGGAUAACUGAGGGAAACCUUAGCUAAUACCGCAUAAUACCUACGGGUCAAAGGAGCAAUUCGCUUUGGGAGGGGGUCGCGGCCGAUUAGUUAGUUGGCGGGGUAAUGGCCCACCAAGACAGUGAUCGGUAUCCGGCCUGAGAGGGCGCACGGACACACUGGAACUGAAACACGGUCCAGACUCCUACGGGAGGCAGCAGUGGGGAAUUUUGCGCAAUGGGGGAAACCCUGACGCAGCAACGCCGCGUGGAGGAUGAAGUACUUCGGUACGUAAACUCCUUUCGAUCGGGACGAUAAUGACGGUACCGGAAGAAGAAGCCCCGGCUAACUUCGUGCCAGCAGCCGCGGUAAU
rnacentral:rRNA from 1 species